CCUACGGGUGGCAGCAGUGGGGAAUAUUGCACAAUGGGCGAAACCCUGAUGCAGCGACGCCGCGUGAGUGAAGAAGUAUUUCGGUAUGUAAAGCUCUAUCAGCAGGGAAGAAAAUGACGGUACCUGACUAAGAAGCCCCGGCUAACUACGUGCCAGCAGCCGCGGUAAUACGGAGGGGGCAAGCGAUAUCCGGAUUUACUGGGUGUAAAGGGAGCGGAGACGGCUCGGCAAGUCUGAAGGGAAAGGCAGGGGCUUAACCCGUGAAGUGCUUUGGAAACUGCCAGGCUGGAGUGAUGGAGAGGUAGGUGGAAUUCCUGGUGUAGCGGUGAAAUGCGUAGAGAUUAGGAGGAACACCAGUGGCGAAGGCGGCUUACCGGAG
rnacentral:rRNA from 1 species